rnacentral:rRNA from 1 species
AUUGAACGCUGGCGGCAUGCCUUACACAUGCAAGUCGAACGGUAACGCGGGGCAACCUGGCGACGAGUGGCGAACGGGUGAGUAAUGUAUCGGAACGUGCCCAGUUGUGGGGGAUAACUGCUCGAAAGAGCAGCUAAUACCGCAUACGACCUGAGGGUGAAAGCGGGGGAUCGCAAGACCUCGCGCAAUUGGAGCGGCCGAUAUCAGAUUAGGUAGUUGGUGGGGUAAAGGCCCACCAAGCCAACGAUCUGUAGCUGGUCUGAGAGGACGACCAGCCACACUGGGACUGAGACACGGCCCAGACUCCUACGGGAGGCAGCAGUGGGGAAUUUUGGACAAUGGGCGCAAGCCUGAUCCAGCCAUGCCGCGUGCGGGAAGAAGGCCUUCGGGUUGUAAACCGCUUUUGUCAGGGAAGAAACGCUCUGGGUUAAUACCUCGGGGUAACGACGGUACCUGAAGAAUAAGCACCGGCUAACUACGUGCCAGCCGCCGCCGUAAAAC